CUAGGCUGGGUGGCUUGUUUCUCUGCUGGCGCAGACACGAUGGGCCAAGUGGUCUCCUUCUGGCCCGUAAGCUUCCUAUGAUUCCCACUGGUAACGUUUCAAAGAUACAAGGAAACUACCUUUUCAUCAAAAGGGACGAGAGGAUUUGUGAAUCAUGGAAACCAUUUGACUGAUAUAGUGCCCCAAACAACUAGACAGCAUGUUUCUCCCGCCACCUCCAGACCCAGGGAAGGAGGUUUUCAAGAAAGAGUUAUAUCCAAGAAGAUUCAGGACCUAAAGAAGAAACAAAAAUAUCCAGUGAAGCAUUCUGCAUGUAAAUGCUUAAGUUCAGUAUUUUGAUUAACUGCUGCAAUUUAACAUUUCUGUACUUUUACUGUAUUUAUUUUUCCGGUCCUGCAAUGUCUCUUUCGUUUUUGUAUCAUGGGUUUUGUGUUUUUAUGUAUCACAAUAAAAUUUGAAACUUGCA